GGCCCAAUAGCACAGUUGGUUAGUGCGCCUGCUCUAAAUUGGUCUGGACUCCCGUCUUUUGUAAGCAGGAGACCCUCGUUCGAAUCGGGGUUGGGCCA